GGUUAAGUUAUUAAGAGCACAGGGUGGAUGCCUUGGCCGUAGUAGGCGAUGAAGGACGUGGUAAGCUGCGAAAAGCUGUGACGAGGUGCAAACAACCGGCGACUCACAGAUGUCCGAAUGGGGAAACCCGGUACCGUUUCCGGUAUCAUGCGUACGUGAAUCCAUAGCGUGCGUAAGCGAACGUGGGGAAGUGAAACAUCUCAGUACCCAUAGGAAGAGAAAGUAAUAACGAUUCCGUGAGUAGCGGCGAGCGAAAGUGGAAGAGCCUAAACCUGUACCGUGUCAAGGUUCAAGCCGUUGCGGUAUGGGGGUUGUGGGACAUCUUGGUACGUGCUUGAACACGUGCAAAGAGUUACAAAGCUGUUGGUUAGUUGAAGGUUUUGGGAAAUUCCGCCAAAGAGGGUGAAAGCCCCGUAAGCGAAAACCAACAGUCUCUUAAGAUGCACCCGAGUAUGGCGGGACACGAGAAAUCCUGUCAGAAUCCAGGAGGACCAUCUCCAAAGGCUAAAUACGACUACGGACCGAUAGUGAACCAGUACCGUGAGGGAAAGGUGAAAAGAACCCUUAGAAAGGGAGUGAAAUAGUACCUGAAACCCUGUGCUUACAAGCGGUUGGAGCCAUCUUCGGAUGGUGACAGCGUGCCUUUUGCAUAAUGAGCUGGCUAGUUAAUUUCUGGAGCAAGGUUAAGGUAUAUCGGAGCCGAAGCGAAAGCGAGUCUGAAUAGGGCGCAUAGUUCCAGGGAUUAGACGCGAAGCGGGAUGAUCUAGCCAUGGGCAGGUUGAAGCUUGGGUAACACCAAGUGGAGGACCGAACCAGUAUCGGUUGAAAACGAUUUGGAUGACCUGUGGUUAGGGGUGAAAGGCCAAUCAAAUUCCGUUAUAGCUCGUUCUCCCCGAAAUAGCUUUAGGGCUAGCGUCUCAUGUUUCCUCUUGGAGGUAGAGAGCUGGAAGGACUAGGGGCCACACCCGGUUACUGAAUCCUAUCAAACUACGAAUGCCAAGAGGGUCAGUGAGGCAGUCAGACUGUGGGUGACAAGAUCCAUUGUCGAGAGGGAAAGAACCCAGACCAUCUGCUAAGGUCCCAAAGUACGUGCUAAGUGGAAAAGGAUGUGGGAGCGCUCAGACAACCAGGACGUUGGCUUAGAAGCAGCCAUCGUUUAAAGAAAGCGUAAUAGCUCACUGGUCAAGCGAGCCUGUGCCGAUAAUGUAACGGGGCUCAAGCACGACACCGAAGCAAUGGGAUGCGCAAGCAUCAGUAGGGGAGCAUUCCGUAGGCCGACGAAGAUGGAGCGUGAGCUCUGUUGGAGGUAUCGGAAGAGACUCUGCCAGCAUCAGUAACGAAAAGACGGGUGAGAACCCCGUCCGCCGAAAACCCAAGGAUUCCGGGGCAAGGUCAAUCCGCCUCGGGUGAGUCGGUCCCUAAGACGAGGUCGAAAGACGUAGUCGAUGGAAAUCCGGUUAAUAUUCCGGAACCAGCAGUCUUCGUUUUAGCGAAGGAGGGACGCAGGAAGGUAGCUCUACCGGCUGAUGGACGCCGGGCUAAGCAUGUAGGUAGACAUGGUAGGUAAAUCCGCCGUGUUGUUGAUCUGAGAUGCGAAUGGUGUGGGACCCCACGGGGACCUGCAUUGAGUGAUCCUCGACUGCCAAGAAAAGCUUCUAAGUGAGAAGACUGUUGACCGUACCGUAAACGGACACACGUGGGUGAGGAGAGAAUCCUAAGGCGUUCGAGAAAACUCAGGCUAAGGAACUCGGCAAACUAGCCCCGUAACUUAGGGAGAAGGGGUGCCUCUGGUAUGUGAAGAUCUUCGCGAUUGGAGCAGAACGAGGUUGCAGUGAAAAGUCCCAAGCGACUGUUUACCAAAAACACAGGACUCUGCGAAGUCGAACACGACGUAUAGGGUCUGACGCCUGCCCGGUGCCGGAAGGUCACGAGGAGAUGUUAUCCUUUGGGAGAAGCAUUGAAUUUAAGCCCCGGUAAACGGCGGCCGUAACUAUAACGGUCCUAAGGUAGCGAAAUUCCUUGUCGGGUAAGUUCCGACCUGCACGAAUGGCGUAACGAUUUGGGAACUGUCUCAGCCUGAGACUCGGUGAAGUUGUAGUGUCGGUGAAGAUGCCGACUACCCGCAGCAAGACGGAAAGACCCCGUGAACCUUCACUACAGCUAGAUAUUGAUCUUGGGUGUUGCAUGUGCAGGAUAGGUAGGAGGCUUUGAUCAGUGCUCGUCAGGGUGCUGUGAGCCAAUGGUGAGAUACUACUCUUGUAACAUCGAAGAUCUAACCGCGACGCGUAAGCCGGGUCCGGGACAGUGUCUGGUGGGUAGUUUGACUGGGGCGGUCGCCUCCUAAAGAGUAACGGAGGCGCCCAAAGGUUCCCUCAGGUGGUUUGGAAAUCCACCGAAGAGUGUAAAGGCAUAAGGGAGCUUGACUGCGAGAGAGACAUCUCGAGCAGGGACGAAAGUCGGGCUUAGUGAUCCGGCGGUGCUGUAUGGAAAGGCCGUCGCUCAACGGAUAAAAGGUACUCCGGGGAUAACAGGCUGAUCUUGCCCAAGAGUUCACAUCGACGGCAAGGUUUGGCACCUCGAUGUCGGCUCAUCGCAUCCUGGAGCUGAAGCAGGUUCCAAGGGUUAGGCUGUUCGCCUAUUAAAGCGGUACGCGAGCUGGGUUCAGAACGUCGUGAGACAGUUCGGUCCCUAUCUGCUGUGGGCGUAGGAGAUUUGAGAGGAGCUGUCCUUAGUACGAGAGGACCGGGAUGGACGAACCUCUGGUGUACCAGUUGUGCCGCCAGGUGCAAUGCUGGGUAGCUAUGUUUGGAAGGGAUAACCGCUGAAAGCAUCUAAGCGGGAAGCCCACCUCAAGAUGAGAUCUCCCUGGGGAAACCCCUGAAGACUCCUUCGAGACGAGGAGGUAGAUAGGCCGAGGGUGGAAGUCUGGUAACAGAUGGAGCUGAUCGGUCCUAAUAAGUCGUGAGGCUUAACCUU
rnacentral:rRNA from 1 species